rnacentral:misc_RNA from 1 species
GAUGAAGAACUUAGUGAAAUGCGAUAAGUAGUGUGAAUUGCAGAAUUCAGUGAAUCAUCGAAUCUUUGAACGCACAUUGCGCCUUCUAGUAUUCUGGGAGGCAUGCCUGUUUGAGCGUCAUUAAACCUCUCUCAAGUAUGAUUACUUGGAUGUGAAGGAAGAGUACCUUAAACUUAAGGAGUGUUCUCCUUUGAAAUUGAUUAGCAGAUGGUAAUGUUAUUAAAUCCCUGAUGUUGUAAGAAAUAACAGUGGUUUUGUAGACUAUUAUCUAGCUUUAAAUUAUAAUUUUUAUUAUGGUUGACCUCAAAUCAGGUAAGGAUACCCGCUGAACUUAAGCAUAUCAAUAAGCGGAGGA